rnacentral:rRNA from 1 species
UACGUAGGGACCAAGCGUUGUUCGGAUUUACUGGGCGUAAAGGGCGCGUAGGCGGCAAUUCAAGUCAUCUGUGAAAUCUCCGGGCUUAACCCGGAACGGUCAGAUGAUACUGCUUUGCUAGAGUGCGGAAGGGGCAAUCGGAAUUCUCGGUGUAGCGGUGAAAUGCGUAGAUAUCGAGAGGAACACCUGAGGUGAAGACGGGUUGCUGGGCCGACACUGACGCUGAGUGCGCGAAAGCGUGGGGAGCAAACAGG